UGCCAUAAUAAACUUUAAGCUUAACAUUUAAAUUAAACCUGUUUAAAGUAAAUACAUCAUAUAUUAUAUUCAUCCAUAUUCAUUAAAUACAACAUAAACCAGUUCAAUAGGAAAUUAAAUCUGAUUUAUUCACAUGAUUUAAAAAAAAUGAUUUUUUGCCAUAAUAAACUUUAAGCUUAACAUUUAAAUUAAACCUGUUUAAAGUAAAUACAUCAUAUAUUAUAUUCAUCCAUAUUCAUUAAAUACAACAUAAACCAGUUCAAUAGGAAAUUAAAUCUGAUUUAUUCACAUUAAGUCUAUUUAAUCGUUUCACUGGAAUUCAUUGGAUCCACCUGAAGCACGCGGGCACACCACUCUUUCAUUCCCGAAUAGACCUCGUGCUGAUGAAUGGACCGAGUUUGGUAAGCUUUUUAUCCGUUUAAGUUAACUAGAAACCGAUUAUUUAUUAGAUGUCCACAUGUUUAAUGGGGAACAUUAGAAAAGAUGUUCUGUUACUGAAUAUAAGCGUUUCUUUAUUCAUUUAGGCGAGUUAUCUAGCACUGUAACUAGCACUAGCUAACUAUUUAGCUAACUAGCUGGGUAACCUGGCUAGGAAAAUAGUCAUGAAACACCAUAAAUAUGCUAUUGCUUUCACAAUGGUAUCGCAAAUCCCUUGGCUUAUGUUGUGCAACGGCUUGUGCCCUUAGCAUUUAGGCAUGGUUUACGUCAGGUGGAUAGCACUACGACAUUGGGUCUGCCAAAGCAUUUAGCUAGCUAUCGUAUUUCGCAUGUCCCCGCGAUUGACUGGCUCCUGGCCGUUAAGGUGGAAUCGAGGGAGUGGUUGCCGACCGUACACGUCCAGCCGUUGAGUAGGGAGUGAGAGCCUGUUGUCGGGAGUGUACUGGUAAUCUAUGAAAACGUGGUUGUUUUGAUAAAACACAGUUCGAAUAUAUGCUAUACUUUGCCAUCUCCAAAUGUAUUAAAACGUCCAAAGAUGCCAUAUUACCACAGUUUUGGACGAGAGUUGGUAAUGGCGGCUGUUGGGGGGGGGUUCAUGCCCAUGGACUUACAUUUAUCGUCUCGUGUGAAUUGUCACUUAUAGCCUACUUUUCCUCAAUUUUCAUAUUCAGGUAUUCUCUCUUUGGAUUUACUUUGUGAAAACCAGGGCAACCUCUUAAUAGUUUGUGUGAAUGUGGGAGUGUAAACUUUGUGACAUAUCACCAGUAUCAAGCAGGUAUGAAAUAUUAAAACACUAUAAGCUAAAACACGGGCAUUAUAGUCAUAGGCAUAGGCAUCAUUGUGUGUACACUAGGUGUCCUUGCACAUUUAAAUCCUAUAGCAAGUUAUUAAGUCACAUAUACAGAACCCACAGUACUGAAGCGUCUCCAAAGUCAGUCGAGCAAUGCUCAUUUUCUUGUAAGUUAUGUGCAUGUCAUGAGCUUUUGAAUGAGAGCGAUUAUUUUAGUCAUAUUAAUGAACAUUUACGAAGCCAUGAAACCGUCACUUGUAUGUUUGAAGGAUGUAUGUUUCAAACUAACAUUUAUAGUACAUUUCACUCCCACAAAAAUAGGAAACAUACUCCCCAUACUUUAAACGAUUUUAAAUCUGACAUUCUCACUGGCACAGCUAGGUUACAAGAAUCAGACAGUCCUGUAGCUGAUGGUCCAUCAUGUUCUGCUAACACAGAUGUAGAUUUAGAUUCAGAUGUAGAUUCAGAUGAAGGUAGUGAUGGCAAUAAUGUUGAAGAUCUUAGUACGUCAAUUGAACAGAGUAUUGCCUCUGUUUUAUUGAAACUGGAAAAUAUUUUGCACGUUCCAGCCACAGCUAUUGACGAAUUACUUCAGGAACUGCACUAUUUAUUAAACUCAACAUCUGUUCCAGUAACCCAUAACAGUAUUUCUAACAUUCUUAGAGAUCACAGCCUCCAGAUUGAUGAGUCAAUCAUUAAAGAGCUUGCUGAAGUAGUUUGCAAGUCAAAUCCUUUGGGCAAAGCCAUAAGCAAAGAGGGUCCUCUGGCUACAGCUUUUAAGCGCAAUAAGUACUACAAACAACAUUUUAAUGUGGUAGAACCCAUUGAGUUCAUUCUUGAUCGCCCCAAAAAUAAGACCUAUCAGUAUAUUCCUAUUUUACCUUCUCUGCAGAAGCUGUUUAAUUGUAAGGACAUUUUAGAGAGUGCUACUGAUUACCACAAGACACAAAAUACAGGAUUAGGGAAUGAACAGCAGUAUAGGUCAAUCAGAGACGGCCUUUAUUUCAGGGAAAACAGUUUUUUCUCCGGGGAGGACUUCAAAAUAGCUAUAUCCUUGUACAUUGACGAUUUUGAAGUCUGCAACCCCAUAGGCACGUCGAGAAAGACACACAAACUUUGUGGCGUCUACUGGAUUUUGAACAAUUUACCACCUGGGUCUCAUUCAGCACUUUCUUCUAUCUAUCUAGCAGUCUUAUGCAAAACUGAUGAUGCUAAGGCGUAUGGCUACGAAAAGGUUCUUGAGCCCCUUUUACAAGAUUUGCUAACUUUAGAGGAACAUGGGGUUUUCAUUGCAGGACUUGGGUGCUUUACAAAAGGAACUGUCCAGUCUGUUAUAGCAGAUAACCUAGGAGCCCACGGCAUAGCAGGCUUUGUGGAAAGCUUCUCGGGUGAGUACUACUGUAGAUUUUGUACAGGUAGUAAAUUAGAUAUUAAGGCUAAAUCUGUUCAGUCUGGUUCUUUUGACCCUCGGACGGAAGACAUGCAUGAGGCACACAUUAAGUCUGCAAAGGAAAACGCAGCUUUUUGUUUCGGAGUAAAGAGAGGGUGUGUGUUUACAGAGAAGCUAUCUUAUUUUCACGUUACUCGUGGCUACCCUCCUGACAUUGUUCACGAUUUAUUUGAGGGCAUCGUUCCAGUUGAGAUUGCUCUCUGUGUAAGUAUAUUCAUUUCCAAGAAGUAUCUCUCUCUUAAUUCUUUGAACACAGCUAUCCUUAAUUUCCCAUAUAAGUGGGGGGAUAAAACUAAUAGACCUCAUAUUGUACCACACGCAUAUGCCUCCAAGAGGACCAUUGGAGGUAAUGCUCACGAAAAUUGGAAUUUAUUGAGGUUACUUCCAUUCAUAAUUGGAGACUUGAUUCCAGAGGCUGAGCCAGCCUGGCUUGUCCUCCUUGAUUUGAGGGAGAUAGUUGAGCUUUCUGUUGCCCCUGUUCAUAGUCAAGAGACGGUUGCAUAUUUGAACUGCAAAAUUUCAGACCACAGACUCAGGUUCCUAGAGAUCUUCCCUGAGCGUCUCCGGCCAAAACACCACUAUAUCGAACAUUACCCUCAGAUGAUUCGGUGUUUUGGUCCUUUAGUGGGGCAAUGGACCAUGAGGUUUGAAGCAAAACAUAGCUUCUUCAAACAAGUUGCUCGCCAGACUAACUGUUUCAAGAACAUUGCACUAACACUAGCAGCCAAACAUCAGAAAAUGAUUGCUUAUCAUCUCCAUUCUCCUAGUCUUAAGAAGUCCACAUUGGUAGUUUCAAAUGUCUCCACACUUCCUGUGGAUGUUCUAAACAAGGAGGUAGGGGCAAGUCUAAAGCAGAAAUACCCAAACAUCAGUGAGGUUCAUCUUGCUAAAAAUGUGACAAGCAGAGGCAUCAAUUACAGAGUUGGCAUGCUAAUAGCACAUGGGUCAGCUGGUGGACUGCCAGAGUUUGCGGAAAUCAUUCAAAUGUGCAUUGUCAACAACAGUUUGAGUUUUGUGGUGCGAGUUUUGUGUGCAUGGUAUAGAGAACACUUUGGAGCGUUUGAGUUGACUGUAUCUCCUGAUAAAGAGGUUGCCUUGGUCAGUCUUGAACAGCUGACGGAUGCAUAUCCACUGUCUGACUACACAGUAGGAGCACAUCGAAUGGUUGCCUUGAAAAGGCAUAUCCUAAUAUAAGACCGAGAGAAAGAUGUCAUGUCCAGUUAACCUGAGGAUCCUUUUCGGAGGGGAUGACGAUUCCAGGAAACUAACUCUUACCUCAAUUCCAGCAUCUGUGGAGGAACUUGUUCUUGAGAUACAGACUGCAUUUGGACUGAGAGAGGAGUUCAGGGUCCAGUAUAGAGAUGUGGAAUUUGGAAAUGAGUUCAUGAACCUAAUGGAGACCAGCGAAAUUCAAGAUAAAAGUACAUUAAAACUUAUUUUUGUAUCAUGUUACGACACUUUGUCAAGCAUUCCGGGGACAUCUAGGUCUCUGACCUCAGUUAGUUGUGCCAACAGCCCCUGUGAAUCUCACCUCCAAGACCAAGACUAUACAUCUAAUGGUAGCAGUGACACAAUUGUUUUAAACUUGAUUCCUCUAGAGUCACUCGAGCCCUCUCCUCCAGGGGAAUUUACAUCAUUUCUUGCAGAGGAACAUAUGUCCUCUUCUCCAGUUGAACUCAUGUCCUCUUCUCCAGUUGAACUCAUGUCCUCUCCAGAGUCAAGGACCUAUUCUUGGCCUGUAGUCUUCACUGUACCUCAGUUUUCGUAUUCUGCUGAAAUUCAGCUACAACAAGCAAAUACAGAGUUCAGCACAAGUGGUACUCUUCUUAUCCCUCCGCCAAAGCUGAGAUCAGAUAUUCUACAAGGAAUGGCUGAAGAGAUUGUUAGAUACACAGCAUAUGCCAGUGAUCGUCAGCUUGAGGAAGCUGCUGCUGCCUUGGUGAAAGCCCACCCGUACUUGAGUGAGAGAGGAACGCGCAACGGCCAUGAGGGCUGGAAGCACUAUUUAAAGAUCAAGAUGGCUAAUUUUCGCACAAAACUUGGCCGUCUUGGACACCCUGAAGUCAGUGUUAACUCUCUCAAGAAUAAGCUCAAAGGUCAGGGGAAAGCAGCUGCAAACAUAAAAAAACCUAGAAAGGCAGAGGUCAACUUCCUUCCUAGCCUCCCAAAAGGAGCGACCACUGCAAGCCUGGAGGAAGAAAGAGUUGCCCUCUUGACCGAGGUGAAAAAGAAGAAUAAUGAGGCUGUGAUCAAGGACAAAAUGCAUCAGACCUUCUCCUACAGGCGACUGGAAGUGGUUCAGGACAUGCCAAUGGUAGCUGAAUUCCAAAACAGAUGGCCUGCCCUGUUUACAAUGAGCGAAGUUAAUGCAGAAUUCAUGCGUAUCACAACUAUGCCUCUACAAACCAAGUUCAUGGCACAACUUGAUAGAUACUCAGCUGACCUAACCAAGCUCUUCAGCAAGAGAGGUGGGACUGCUGGGAAGAAGAUAGGACACAUCGUGGAGAGGACGGCUCAGUGUGAUGACAUAAACUCCAGACGAGAACGUGUCCUAAGAAGCCUCUGUGUCUACCUCAAUGAGGAUGAUGAAACUCUCAUCAAGGAAUACAUGAACCGCAACAUGGAAGAAGCGGACAGGGAGGUGUCCACCAUUGGACUUCAUGUUGUCCGGAGAGAGGGUACUGAGCCUGAGCAUGUCGGAGUGGUGAUUGAGGGUGUGGAGCUGCUGACCAACCUUGGGAACGUUUCUUUUGGAUUUUCAAUACUUUUUGGUUUGAUUUAUUGUCUAAACAUGAGCUACCCACAAGGGCUCAAAUUUACAUUUGAGUUCGUGCAGAAGGUUCUGAUGAACUUGGAUGGCAGCAAUCUCUCUCCUAAGGUUCAAGCCCUUAAAAUUAAGAUGCUCCAGUGAACUCACUUAUAGGUCUGAAGGCCUCAUGUUCUGUUUUCCAUUUUAUUUUAGCAAUUAGAAUUGUCUUUUUCUGGUUCUUUAAGAUUUACACACACACACACACACCAUAAAGUUUCAGUGUCGUCGGGGGAGGAGGUCCUGGGUGGGCUGAACAGGAGACGGCAGAGUUACUCAAUACAUGCAGUCUUUCUUUUUCGUUUAAAAGUUUUGCAGUUAAAGUUUCUAAGCACUACAUUCAUUACGAACACCAAUUCAAACCGCACACAACAUGAGUGCUAUGGUAUUUGCAAUAAAGACCCUACUCUUUAUGUAAAUACAAUUGUGAACAUUUUCAUAUUAUUUCCUUCUGAUUUAAGGUGUCAUUAACGUUCUCAAUGAUGACGACCUAAUUUGAGCUCAGCGUUAUUCUUGUAAUUUAGUGCUCUUCAGAUCACACUAACAGUUGCCUCUGGAUCAAUCUCCUAAUCUACUAAUGUGUACAACUGUCAAUAAAUGUAUUUGUUUUUUAUUUAUUUUCCAAAUUCCUUUCCAGGUACCUUGUUCUCGUAAUAAAUAUGGAUAAUUGCUCUAAUGUAUGUCCUACCUUCUUAUUUCUUCGCAAAAUGAUAUUUAACUUGUGUUUUUGUAAACAGUGAUAGCUGAAUUUCAGCAGAAUACGAAAACUGAGGUACAGUGAAGACUAUUUAAGCCCAAAAGUUAAAAUGUAUGCAUUUCAAUUACAUGACAAUUUUCCAUCUAUUUUGAUCACAUAACUCCAAUGUAAAAAAUGACAUUUCAAUCCAUCUUUAUUAAUCAUGUUCAUGUAAUCUAACCAAAUACAUUGGGUUUAUGCAUAAUACCUGAGUAAGUCCAAUUUAAUUGAUUAAUGUUGAGUUUAUCUAAUUUAUUCAUGUUGAAUGAACAUGAUUAAUAAACAUGGAUUGAAAUGUCAUUUUUUACAUUGGAGUUAUGU